rnacentral:rRNA from 1 species
AUACGGAGGGUGCAAGCGUUGUUCGGAAUCACUGGGCGUAAAGCGCGCGUAGGCGGCUACUUAAGUCAGAUGUGAAAUCCCCGGGCUCAACCUGGGAACUGCAUCUGAUACUGGGUAGCUAGAGUUUAGGAGAGGGAAGUAGAAUUUCAGGUGUAGCGGUGAAAUGCAUAGAGAUCUGAAGGAAUACCAGUGGCGAAGGCGGCUUCCUGGCCUAAAACUGACGCUGAGGUGCGAAAGCGUGGGUAGCAAACGGGAUUAGAUACCCCAGUAGUCC